rnacentral:tRNA from 1 species
UGUUCUGUGGCUUAGUAGGUUAAAGCGUCAGUCUAGCGAGUACGAAGUCGUGGGUUUGAAUCCCACCAAAACGC